rnacentral:lncRNA from 1 species
AUGUUGGCUAACAUUUUAUAUUUACAACUCUUUAAGGUAAAUUCUCGGGUCACCGAAUGUAGAAAUGCAAAGGUCAUAGAAAUCGUCCCCCUUACGGGGGAGGCGGAGUCUUAUUCCUGUUUGCGUGCUGAGCAAUGGAAGGAUGGAAGCAAGUUCCCCUCAACAAACGCCCUCACCUGGAAUCUUCAGUGGCCUGAUCAUGAUGGUCUCCCAUGUUUGCAUCCUGGUGGCCAUCUGGAAGAUCCAGAUUGCUCAUGGGAGACAGAACCCUUUGUCCACCUGCUCCUCUCACCUGGUAGUUGUCUCCAUCCUGUAUGGGACUCUUUUCUUAUCUCUGUUCGGCCUGGCUCAAGUCCCUCCCUGGAUCUCAAUAAAGUGAUUUCUCUGUUGUACACUGUGGUGAUGCCCAUGUGGAACCCCCUCAUCUAUAGCUUGGGGAAUAAGGAGGUAAGAUACACAUUUGGGAUGAAGUUUGAAAGGAAAACUUCUCCAGCAGUUUUGGUAAUUAGAAUUCUGUUGUGUUGUACCUUAGACGUUGGUUUAUAACAUGUCAAAAGAACAGUGGGCUGAGAACUAGAAGUUCCCUUUAUUCCUGAGUAGUUACCAGGUGACUUAUAGACUGCUUAUAUUUUUUUCAUCAGUCUUCUCCAUUAUAAAGUGAAGGGGAAUACAAAAUAAUUUACAGAUAUAUUAAAGGUACAAAUGUACUAUAUGCCAACAGAAAGUACAGAGGAACAUUUAUAUAGUCUCAUAUGUGGGAGGACAUUUAUUCCAGAUUAGAAGAGCAAAUGUUGUAAGAGAAAGGUCAACAGUGUUCAUUAAUAAAGGUUCAUACACCUUGUUCUGUUGAACA